GAUGAACGCUGGCAGCAUGCCUAACACAUGCAAGUCGAGCGCGAAGAUGCGCUUGCUCAGUCUAGCACAGGCGGACGGGUGAGGAGCGCGUAAGGUACUUGCCCUGCCGACAGGGAUGAGAGAAGGUAACGAAAGCGGACACAAGGUAGGGUAAGGUUGGCACAUGCAGGGCUGAUGAGAGGAUGCGCUGUAGGCGGGCCUUGCGUGCUAUUAGCUAGUUGGGGGGGUAACGGGCCACGAAGGCGAUGUUAGGUGGCCGGCCUGAGUGGGUGAACGGCCACAAGGGGACUGAGAGACGGCCCUUGCUCCUACGGGAGGCAGCAGUGGGGAAUAUUGGACAAUGGGGGCAACCCUGAUCCAGCAAUUCUGUGUGCACGAAGAAGGUUUUCGGAUUGUAAAGUGCUUUCAGCAGGGAAGAAGAAAGUGACGGUACCUGCAGAAGAAGCGACGGCUAAAUACGUG
rnacentral:rRNA from 1 species